AACGAGCUAGAGUUUGAUCCUGGCUCAGGACGAACGCUGGCGGCGUGCCUAACACAUGCAAGUCGAGCGGGGACAUACGACGGACAGGAAGUUUUCGGAUGGAAUGGAAGAUGUAUGUUCUAGCGGCGGACGGGUGAGUAACGCGUGAGCAACCUGUCCCUUACAGGGGGAUAACACAGCGAAAGCUGUACUAAUACCGCAUAAGACCACAGAGAGACAUCUCACAGGGGUCAAAGGAGCAAUCCGGUAAGGGGUGGGCUCGCGUCCGAUUAGAUAGUUGGUGAGGUAACGGCCCACCAAGUCAACGAUCGGUAGCCGACCUGAGAGGGUGAUCGGCCACAUUGGGACUGAGACACGGCCCAAACUCCUACGGGAGGCAGCAGUGGGGAAUAUUGGGCAAUGGGGGAAACCCUGACCCAGCAACGCCGCGUGAGGGAAGAAGGUCUUCGGAUUGUAAACCUCUUUUACCAGGGAAGAAGAAAGUGACGGUACCUGGAGAAAAAGCCACGGCUAACUACGUGCC
rnacentral:rRNA from 1 species